AAUGCAACUUAACAGACAAUGCACAAAAUUUCAGUCUGGUUCUUAGGGAAGCUUUUUCAAAUCAGAUUUCCAAGCUUGGUUGGACCAGCAUUGUUUCUUGCAAUACUUUUUGAAAUAAUUGUUAAAUGUAUUAAGAAUUAAUGAGAUGCAUCAGUACACACCAAAAGCCUCUGAUCAGUGUGUAUAUGUCCCACUGAAGGCUUCAAAAGCAGUCAGUUGUGUCUUUAUAUGUACCAUACACAGAAUAGAGGAGGCCAGCUAAUAUUUUACAGAUGUUUGUUCUCUGUUUUCAUGUUCUAGAUAACAGUUAACAUGUGUCCAACCAUUUCUCCUGUUAAGCAGUCUUUGUAAACUAAUAGUUGUGAUGCCAGGUUCUCAGAGUCUUCAACAUCACUCAGAUUAUUAACACUUGUGGAGGCUCUUCAGCUGAUACUUGUCUCAGCUCUACUUGUUGGCAAUCAAUGUAAUACUCGUUCCCCACUCUAGGCUAAAGAGGCUGUGUGAGUGCAUAUUUCAUGACUCCUGAGCUUUAGAGAAGUUCCUGGGAACUACAGACCAGGGAGCAUGCCUUCUUUAUAGUGGUUUGCAACUGAUAUGCUUUGCACCUGAAAGAACAGACUAAAAGGAAUUCUGAGGAAAACUGCUGCAUUAUUAUUUCUGAAAAAUGCAUAAGGGAAGGUAAAUGCUGCAAAUACAGUGUUGUAAUGAAUAUUUUGAGCAAAUCUUUUCUGUGACCUGAACUCUCCUGGGGUCACCUCCUUCAAAGUCAAGAACAGUCCAUCACCAUGUGCAGGAAGCCAAGCAAAAGUGGCAGGAGGCCUGCAUGGAUCAGCAAGAAGCUCCUAAGAAAACUCAGACAUAAAAAGGAAGCAUACAAGAGGUGGAAGCAAGA